rnacentral:rRNA from 1 species
UACGUAGGGGGCAAGCGUUGUCCGGAAUCAUUGGGCGUAAAGCGCGUGUAGGCGGCCCGGUAAGUCCGCUGUGAAAGUCCAGGGCUCAACCCUGGAAUGCCGGUGGAUACUGUCGGGCUCGAGUCCGGAAGAGGCGAGUGGAAUUCCUGGUGUAGCGGUGAAAUGCGCAGAUAUCGAGAGGAACACCUGCGGCGAAGGCGGGUUGCUGGGCCGACACUGACGCUGAUGCGCGAAAGCCAGGGGAGCGAACGGG